GACAGAGGGUGCAAACGUUGUUCGGAUUUACUGGGCGUAAAGCGCGUGUAGGCGGCCUUGCAAGUCGGAUGUGAAAGCCCACGGCUCAACCGUGGAAGUGCAUCCGAAACUGCAUAGCUUGAGUCUCGGAGAGGAAGGUGGAAUGCUUGGUGUAGAGGUGAAAUUCGUAGAGAUGUGGAGGAACACCGAUGGCGAAGGCAACCCCCUGGGACGAUACUGACGCUGAGGCACGAAAGCGUGGGGAGCAAACAGG
rnacentral:rRNA from 1 species